AGUGGAUGGGGAGCAACCUAGUUGUGCGUGUGUAAAGGUAGUGCCAAGAAAAGCGAUGAUCAUGUUGAAAAUCAAUUCCCGGUACCCGAAACCGACACAGGUGGGCAAGUAGAGAAUACUAAGGGGCGCGAGGUAACUCUCUCCAAGGAACUCGGCAAAAUGACCCCGUAACUUAGGGAGAAGGGGUGCCACCGAGAGGUGGUCGCAGUGAAGAGGCCCAGGCGACUGUUUAGCAAAAACAUAGGUCUCUGCAAACUCGAAAGAGGAGGUAUAGGGGCUGACGCCUGCCCAGUGCCGGAAGGUUAAAGAAGUUGGUCAGUUUUAGGAUGAAGCUAGCGACUGAAGCCCCGGUGAACGGCGGCCGUAACUAUAACGGUCCUAAGGUAGCGAAAUUCCUUGUCGGGUAAGUUCCGACCCGCACGAAAGGCGUAACGAUCUGGGCGCUGUCUCGGAGGGAGGCUCGGCGAAAUAGGAUUGUCUGUGAAGAUACGGACUACCUGCAUUUGGACAGAAAGAGCCUAUGAAGCUUUACUAUAGCUUGGAAUUGUGUUCGGGCUUCCUGUGCGCAGGAUAGGUGGGAGGCGUAGAAGGUAUUCUUGUGGGGAUACUGGAGCCAACGGUGAGAUACCACUCUCAGGAGGCUAGAAUUCUAACUUAAUUAAGGACAGUUUCAGGUGGGUAGUUUGACUGGGGCGGUCGCCUCCAAAAGGUAACGGAGGCGUACAAAGGUUCCCUCAGACUGGUUGGAAAUCAGUCGAAGAGUGCAAAGGCAGAAGGGAGCUUGACUGCGAGAAGUACAGUUCGAGCAGGGUGGAAACACGGUCUUAGUGAUCCGACGGUGCUGUGUGGAAGGGCCGUCGCUCAACGGAUAAAAGUUACUCUAAGGAUAACAGGCUGAUCUCCCCCAAGAGUUCACAUCGACGGGGAGGUUUGGCACCUCGAUGUCGGCUCAUCGCAACCUGGGGCGGAAGUACGUCCCAAGGGUUGGGCUGUUCGCCCAUUAAAGCGGUACGUGAGCUGGGUUCAGAACGUCGUGAGACAGUUCGGUCCAUAUCCGAUGUAGGCGUGAGAAUAUUGAGAGGAGCCUUCCUUAGUACGAGAGGACCGGGAAGGACGCACCGCUGGUGUACCUGUUAUGAUGCCAAUUGUAAACGCAGGGUAGCCAAGUGCGGAGAGGAUAACCGCUGAAAGCAUCUAAGUGGGAAGCCCACCUCAGGAUGAGUAUUCUGGUGUAAGGUCACGGGAAGACGACCCGUAAAUAGGCACGAGGUGGAAGUGCAGAGAUGUAUGAAGCCGAAGUGUACUAAUAGACCGUCGGCUUGACC
rnacentral:rRNA from 1 species